GUGAAAUACCACUAAAGGCAGAAGAGAAUGAAAUCAUCCCACCCACUGACCCGUUCCCAAUCUGAGCAUAUGGAUAGGGCCCAAAGCACAUUUAACAGAAGAGAAACCUGAUGGCCUUAUCAAUGAAGCUACUAGGCAAGUUGCUUUGGCAGAUAUCAUUCUCAUUAAUAAAACAGACUUGGUUCCAGAAGAAGAUGUAAAGAAAUUAAGAACGACAAUUAGGUACAAAAUGAUAAGUGUGUUAAGUGCCUACAGAUCCAUAUUGUAUACACAGAAUAUUUUUUACUCUGAUUGUUGCCCUGUAGAAACUUAAGGUAUAAGGUUGACCUGCUUCAAGAACGUUAGGGAAUCACAUAUAUUGUUGAUGGCUAAUUGUUAUAUAAAUGGUAAUACAUAAAAUUAGUCCUCAGUGCUUGCAGAAUAUAGUUCACAGUUAAUAGACUGAUAUUCAGGGUCUUCGCACUCCAUCUUUCUUUUCCUGUCUUCUCUUUGACUCUUUCCUAAUGUCAGUCUUCCCUAACUUUACCCAGGAUGGUUAAUUCACUUUCCCAUGGAUGCAUCCUCUCAGUUCCUGUCUUUACUCAUAAUGUAUUCUCACUCUGCCAAUCCCUGAGUUCUUUCUUGUUCUGUUUUUUUUUUUUUAAAUUUAUUCUAUAGAGCCUAUUCUGUCUCUCCCCGCUUCCUAUGUGAAGUCUUCCCUGACUCAAGUGGUCUCAGUUUUCCCUGAACUCUUGUUGACUUCAUCUUCCUUAACUGUCAACCAUGCCUUGUCUUCCAGCUUGCUUGUAUAUCUUCUUUGUCCAUAGCCAAGGCUGAUCAGCAUAGGACAAUCAGGACAAUAUGAAUGAUGCUCAAAUAUGUGCUAACAGUCAUUUUGCUGACUGUUCUGGAGACUCCCAUUCCUUUUGAAAACAAAGAUGGACUUUUCAAAUGAAGUUAUAGUUCAGGGACUUUGUUUUGAAUUAUUUUGUAAGACCUGAACUAAUAAAAGCC
rnacentral:lncRNA from 1 species